GACGAACGCUGGCGGCGUGCUUAACACAUGCAAGUCGAACGGAAAGGCCCUGCUUUUGUGGGGUGCUCGAGUGGCGAACGGGUGAGUAACACGUGAGUAACCUGCCCUUGACUUUGGGAUAACUUCAGGAAACUGGGGCUAAUACCGGAUAGGAGCUCCUGCUGCAUGGUGGGGGUUGGAAAGUUUCGGCGGUUUGGGAUGGAAUCGCGGCUUAUCAGCUUGUUGGUGGGGUAGUGGCUUACCAAGGCUGUGACGGGUAGCCGGCCUGAGAGGGUGACCGGCCACAUUGGGACUGAGAUACGGACCAGACUCCUACGGGAGGCAGCAGUGGGGAAUAUUGCACAAUGGGCGGAAGCCUGAUGAAGCAACGCCGCGUGCGGGAUGACGGCCUUCGGGUUGUAAAACGCUUUCGCCUGUGACGAAGCGUGAGUGACGGUAAUGGGUAAAGAAGCACCGGCUAACUACGUG
rnacentral:rRNA from 1 species